rnacentral:rRNA from 1 species
AACGAACGCUGGCGGCAUGCCUAAUACAUGCAAGUCGAGCGAACAGAUGAAGUGCUUGCACUUCUGACGUUAGCGGCGAACGGGUGAGUAACACGUAAGGAAUCUACCUAUAAGCGGGGGAUAACAUUCGGAAACGGGUGCUAAUACCGCAUAAUAUCUUCUUCCGCAUGGAAGAAGAUUGAAAGACGGCUCUGCUGUCACUUAUAGAUGACCUUGCGGUGCAUUAGUUAGUUGGUGGGGUAAUGGCCUACCAAGGCGAUGAUGCAUAGCCGAGCUGUGAGGGUAGUCGGGCACAUUGGGACUGAGACACGGCCCAAACUCCUACGGGAGGCAGCAGUAGGAAAUCUUCCGCAAUGGGCGAAAGCCUGACGGAGCAAUGCCGCGUGAGUGAAGAAGGCCUUCGGGUCGUAAAACUCUGUUAUAAGAGAAGAACAAAUUGUAGAGUAACUGCUACAGUCUUGACGGUAUCUUAUCAGAAAGCCACGGCUAACUACGUCCCAGCCGCCGCGGUAA